rnacentral:rRNA from 1 species
ACGUUAGCGGCGGACGGGUGAGUAACACGUGGGUAACCUACCUAUAAGACUGGGAUAACUUCGGGAAACCGGAGCUAAUACCGGAUAAUAUUUCGAACCGCAUGGUUAGAUAGUGAAAGAUGGUUUUGCUAUCACUUAUAGAUGGACCCGCGCCGUAUUAGCUAGUUGGUAAGGUAACGGCUUACCAAGGCGACGAUACGUAGCCGACCUGAGAGGGUGAUCGGCCACACUGGAACUGAGACACGGUCCAGACUCCUACGGGAGGCAGCAGCG